rnacentral:lncRNA from 1 species
GGGUAAUUGAAUGAGGGCCUGUGUAAGGUACUUUGAAAGUUGAUUCUGAGCCAGGUGAGGACGGCUAUUAAGGGAAGGAGCUGAAUGUCAAAGGAUCUUCCCUACUCCCGCUUUGUGGCCGGCUAAGGACAUGCCACCCAGCUGCCUAGAGAAGAUGUGAUGUCAGAAAUUAGCUCGGCAGAGGCAUGAUGACAUGGGGCUUUGGGUCUUGGAAGAGUAUUUUAAGAAACAGGCUUUCUGAUCCUUACCCUGAGCUAGAGAAGAAACAUGCCUUGUGGAGGAGGCAAAUGUGAAUAAAACCCACAGCUUUGUCCCAUCUUUUCCAUUUUUCCAGCUGUAGAAACAUGUCUCCUAAUACAGAUAAGCUAUCCUUGUUCCCAUACUGCUUUGCACAUAGCAGGAUCACAGUAUUUAAUGAAUGAAUGAAUGAGAGAAUGAAUGGUAUCACCAGCCUCUGGACUUCAGAGGCUUCCUUAGUUCCUGUGGUUGGUUGGUUUGUUUAUUUUGAGACACAGUCUCACUCUGUCACUCCAGGCUGGAGUGCAGUGGUGUGAUCUUGGCUCACUGCAACCUCCAUUUCCAAGAUUAAAGUCAUUCACGUGCUUCAACUUCUUGAACAGCUGGAAUUACAGGUGCCUGCUGCCACACCUGGCUAAUUUUUGUAUUUUUAAUAGAGAUGGGGUUUCACCAUGUUGGCCAGGCUGGUCUUGAGGUGACCUCAAAUGAUCCACCCGCCUCAACCUCCCAAAGUGCUGGGAUUAGAGGCGUGAGCUACCGUGCCUGGUCAGUUCCCGUGGUUUAGAUGGGGAGAGAGGCCAUGGUGGUUUUGUUCAUGGGUGUAAUUGCACUAAGCCUAUGUUCCUAAGAUAGGGCUGUGUCUAUUCCUCACUCCUGCUCCAGUCACGUGUCUCCCUCCUUCUCUCUGAGACCGCUUGGAGCCCCUAUAGCCUUUCUCCGGGUCCUGGGGAGAGGCAAAGUGAAGGUCAGCUUGUGGUUAACAUCAGUCAUAGGUGAUAGGAGUGGCUUGGAGUCAGUUCAGUGAGAGUCCUCCAGGAGGUGGACCUUUGCCUCCAGCUGUUUUUGAGAGGCAACAAUCGCACUUGAGGCCUCAGUCUAGAGCCCACUGAACAGUGGACAAAGUACCUUCUUAUCUUCACAGCUACCUGUGAAGGUUAGCAUCAUCAACCCCCACCCCGCCCCCACCACCACAAUUUUAGAAAUGAGGAAGGGUUGGCCAGGCACGGUGGCUCACACCUGUAAUCCCAGCACUUUGGGAGGCCGAGGCGGGUGGAUCACUUGAGGUCAGGAGUUUGAGACUAGCCUGGCCAACACAGUGAGACCCGUCUCUACUAAAAAUACAAAAAUUAGCUGGGUGUGGUGGCGGACGCCUGUAACCCUAGCUACUUGGGAGGCUGAGGCAUGAGAAUUGCUUGAACCCAGGAGGUGGAGUUUGCAGUGAGCUGAGAUUGUGCACUCCAGCCUGGGUGACAGAGGAAGACUGUCUGGAAAAAAAAAAAAAAA